GAACGCACAUUGCGCCCUUUGGUAUUCCAAAGGGCAUGCCUGUCUGAGCGUCAAUAAAUGAAUCAAACCUUGGUUUGGUAUUGGGAGAAGUGGCAUUGCCUCUCUCCUUUAAGUUAUUGGCGACGCUAUUUCAGCUUGUAAGACGUAGUAAGUAAUUUCUCGUUAAAGCAACUGUAUAGAUGUCUGCCAACUGAACGAUUUAUUUUACAGCUUGACCUCAGAUCAGGUAGGGAUACCCCCUGAACUUAAG
rnacentral:misc_RNA from 1 species